rnacentral:misc_RNA from 1 species
UCUCGUGAGUCAGUGCUGCAGCUUUAUUUUCCCUUCCCACAUAGGCACAAGGCACAGCACGGUUGCUGUCGUUUCGUUCUGUGCGCUGGCAUAGGCUCUCAUGGUGAAACGAGACUUGCAGAAGGAGAAGCAGCAGGAGCUCGCUGCUAUUUGGGGCAGUGAGGUCCAAGGGGAUGCACGCUUUCCUAAACGGCGCAGAGCCGCUCAAAAGAAGGGUCUUGGUGCUGUCGAGGACAACGACGACGUAGACCCAGCCGCCCUGUCAGACAUUGGAAGCGAUGCCGGAAGCAUCACGAGCAAGCACAGCGAUACGGCAAAGAAGGAAACGAGGAAGACCGUCAAAAAGGAGAGCACCGACUAUCGCCUCCAUUGCUUUGUCGAACCUGGCACGGAACUGAACGCCGUUCGGACCGUCUUUGAGGCCUACGAGCCCAAGGUCGAAAUUCGUACAGCGCAGAAGGGCAAUUUGCUCAACAAGUCACAGUUUGCAGUGCUCACGUUUCGCAACAAGGCAAUGGCGCUGCAUGCGGUGAAGAAGCUUGACGGAACCAAUCAGCGUGAUCUUCUGGGUGUGAGUAGCCUGAAGCUGAACCUUAUGCUGACAAGGCAGCAGAGCAAGAUUGCGCGCAAAACGUUCAACCGAAAGAUCCGCCAUGAGAAGGAGCGAAAUCAGCUCAUGGAAGCGCAAGAAGACAUGGCGUUUAUUCGAAACUUUUUGAAGCAGCAUAGCGGUGCAAAGAAGGGCAAGCAAGACGGGAAAAUGCUCAGUCUCUCGUGAUGUGGUUGAAUCACCAUGUGUGUGUGUGUGUGUGUGUGUGUGUGUGUGUGUGCGUGCGUGCCGAGAUGUGCAGUGCGACCGAUGGAAUCUCGUCGACAGCCACACUGAGCGAAGCGUUCAAUAAACACGAGUAACCCUUCUUUUCUAAGCCUGUCUGAGCGUCUACGCCACUGAAGUACUUCCUCUCGUAACUGAGAUGGCAAGCAAAGGCGUUUGGAAAGGUGCACAUCCUACCCCCGCCCCAACCUUUCUAUUCUCGCCUUGCCUUUCCCUGUUGCAGAGCUGCGAAUCGAAUGGUCGCGCUUCGCCUUUUUGUUUCUCUCGUUCCUGUAGUGAAUGUAGAAACAGUUCAUACUCAAUGGAAGACUCUUGCAGCUCCCGUCAUCCAGUCGAAAGCAGUACGCAUGCCUGCUCCGUCCAUCAUUCCCUCACAGGCUCUACGCCUGCCGACAGGCCGGUCUCUCUCUCCCUCACCCCUCAUUGUUUCACCCUUUUACUCCUCGAAG